GCUGAGAUAGCUCAAUUGGUAGAGCAUGAGACUCUUCAUGUCAGGGUAAUGGGUUCAAGCCGCACGUUGGACA